GACUGAUUAAAAAGUUUUGAUUUGAAAUCAAGUACCAAAGCGAGUAUGAGUGCUUAUUAGUCU
rnacentral:tRNA from 1 species